CAGUGAGGAAAGGAAACAAAAGCACGAUGGACUCUGAGGGGUCUCCAAUCCCCUCUGAUUUUUCCCUGAGGUGUUUGUUGUGAGCCAAGAGAACUCUGCAGGGAGGUGGGGGCUCAGGAGCGAGGCAUCAAAGCUGCUGCUCCCUAGUCACAGGCUGGGUUGUGGAAGGUGCUGGUGCUGCAGGCAGGAGCAGGGAUGUGAGCAGACCCUCCUGGCGCUGCAUUUGAGACUGUCAGUGCAAUAGUUCAGGAGAUGGGGUCCUUGCUGCUCCCAGCAGCCCCCGUGAUGUUGCGUGGAAGGUGUUGCUCAUCUGGUGGUGAUGGAGAGGAGCGGGAUGGAAGGCUGUGUUGAGUGCUGUGGGUUUGGCACAGUGCUUCAGUACCUGGGCUUUGCUGGCACAACCACCCAUUUCUCCGAGCCAUGCUGCUUUCCAUCCCACAUCCAUCUCUGGUGUCCCUGUGGAGCUGGUUUUCCCUUUCGUGUCUGCUUGCAUGCAGCAUUUUGGCAAAGAGGCAGCUUUAACUGGACAACUGCUUCCUCGUGGAGCUUGAUAUUCAACGGGCUCUGCUGCCAGGAGCUUUUAUGAGCUGUGGGAGGCAGCAAGGGGAAAAUGACUUUGAGACCCAAUAGAGCCUUCUGCUGGUGUGCCCAGCCAGAUGUGGGUGGUGAUACUACUGGGACACGAGCGGCUGCCUUGUUCCCUGCACAGCUCUGAGCACACAAACCCCUCUCUCAAUCCUGCCUGGCCCCUCUGAUUUGUGCCCCAGUGCUGCUUUGUGUCACAGAGCCGGGGGUGGCCUGACCGGCUCGGCCCGGCCGGUGCAGGGAGCAUGAGGCACCUGCAGAGCCCUCGGGGUCCUGGUCUCGCUGGUUUCCAGGGGGAUGCUCGGGCUUUCCCAGCGCAUCCCAUUAGAUGGCAAUGCAGCCUGCUCCUCUGAGCGGCCCCGCAGGAUGACGCCACUGAGAAAGGGGCUGCAGCCUCUGUGGGGUAGGCUGGGGUGGCCGAGGCUCUUCAGUGUGUGAAAAGGGCUCUCAGAUUUGUGCUUAUAACUCUUAUUUUGGCUGCUGACAUUAAGAAACUGGGAUUCCUGUCCAUCUGGCUUUGAGGUGCCCUCUAUCGUGUAGUAGUGGCUGUGGCCAUGCUUGGGCCAACUCUGUCCCUUGCCUGGGUUACACAGGUUCUGUUUGCAAGUGCUUUGUCCACCCUGUUGCUUUAUUCCGUGUCAUUUCCAAGCAGGAGAAAGCACCCAAGUGGCAUGAGGGCAAGGGGGACACUUGGCAUCUUCUCUGGGGUGAGCAGCGAGCAGGACAACUCCUGCUCAUCUGGCUGUCUGACAGAGGCAGCCUGAGCUCCAGGCAGGACAAGGCUGCUGCUCCCCGUGCUCCCAGCAGCCUUUCCCAGGCCUGCAGAGGAUGCAGACACCUGCACCGCCCUUGGCCACGGCGCUCCAGCUCUCACUCAGGAGCUGCGUGAGUCAGGAGCUCACCUGGGCAGUACUGGCCUGCAGCCAGGGGCUUCCCAGGGCCAGGCAGCAGCAGGGCUCCAGGCGCUGGGGGGGCCCUGGGCAUGGCUGGGGGAACAGGCCUGCCUCUCAAACGGGGCAUGAGUGCCCUGGCUUGGGUUAGGGAUGCACUGAGCAGCCCCGCGCCUGCUGGGAGCCCCCAGGCCCCGUGCUCCGGCCCCGUUGUGCUGAGCUGCGGAGGGUGGUGCAUCCCCAGCCUGCCUCUCCCGGGUUUAACUGGGACAGGAUGGUGCAUCCCCAGCCUGCCUCUCCUGGGUUUAACUGGGACAGGAUGGUGCACCCCUGCCUGCCUCUCCCGGGUUUAACUGGGACAGGAUGGUGCAUCCCCAGCCUGCCUCUCCCGGGUUUAACUGGGACAGGAUGGUGCAUCCCCAGCCUGCCUCUCCCGGGUUUAACUGGGACCUUACCUGGAGAUGAGAGCGCUCGGCUCCGGAUCUCGGAAUGGAGCAGCAUUCCACUACAGCCCAGCCAAGGGGAAUGAAGCAAUAUUAAAGUGCAAUAUUUCAUUGCUCUGUAAUUAACUUCAGCUGCUUUCAAGCUGCAACAAAUUACCCUCAAAACCCGUUUUUGUACUGAGGAGAACUUUGAACUGCGUUUGCAGCCCUUGUGCCUGGGAGGGAGGGGAGGCCGCUCCUGCUGUCUGUGGCUGCAGCUCCGUGUGUGGUUUGGGACCAGCCCUGGGCCGGCUGUGCCGGGUUGCCGUGUCAGCACAGGCAGGAGUGCUGGGGCUGGCAUCAACCCCGCCAGGGACUGGCAUCAACCCCGCCAGGGGCAGCCCCGGGUGUGGGAAACUACUGCAGCAUCCCGGGAAAGCCUCUGGCUCCACCUGGAGAGUCUUUGAUGGGAUGGAUCCUGGUGCACCCAAGGCUGUAGAUGCAUGCUGCCAUCCCAAGGUCUUCCCAAAGUACUGUGGGCAGAUUAAUCCAGGGCGUAAAACUUCAGCCAGCUUGUUGGAGAGAAAAUUCUGCUUAGCUUCUAGAAGGCAGCAGCCUCCUUCAGCAAAGACCUGAUGAUCUGAUGGUUUUUGGGGAGCCCCUGAGUGGCUCAAAACACAGAUCUGCUCCCUAAAUUCCUUGGAGAAUAUGCUUGUUUGUGUUUACUUUCCAUCUCCCAUCUCUAGCAGGAUCCAUGGAGAUGGGCCUGUGCAGCCCAGGCCUGGGAAGGUGGCAUAGGCUCCCACCACCCGUGGCCUGGCUGGCCUGGUCAUGGCCUGGCAAUUGCCAGGCAGUGGCUCUGCCUGGCCUGAUGGUGCCAAGCCCUUCCCAUCCUGCUCUAGAAGAGCAAAAGGACUCCAACAGCUUCUCUGGGAUGCCUCAACCAGGGGCAGCUUAACUGCCUUUGGUGAAUUUAUGAGCUCAUGAAGCCAGAGGAAGAUGGGAAGCAUUCCACGGGAGCCGAGGGCUGGGGAGCUGUGGCACCGCUGCCAUGCCUGCCACCAUCAGAGGUCUCAGAAUGCUCCUGUGCCCUGGGGAAGGACUGGCUGUCCUCUUGGAUGCCCUCAGGAGAGGAGGAGGGAACUGUUGCUGCUCUGGACCUCUCUGCCCACCCGUGUGCCCACAGAGGGGGUGGUCACAGGAGUUUGAAGAGCCGCUGUUUCUGUAGAUGAAGAGGUGAUAGGGGGUGUGAGUCAUUACUCUGGAUGUGUUAAAGCAUGAGGAGCGAACAAACCUUCAGCCCAAAUCUCCAGGGAGAAAGCCACUGGCCCAGACUCCAUUGUGGCACCCUGGGAUGGCUCAGUCCCAGCCUGGGUCCCCAGCAGCUCUGUCACACCUGUGGGUACCACCUGCACUGGGGUUCCAACCCCUGGAUAUGGCAUGGAGGAGUCACAAGGAGCUUGAUCCAUGGACGAGCCUUAAAAAAACGGGGGAAGCUUUCACCUCUGUUCCCAGUGAUGCCCAUGGAGCAGUGCUGGAGCUCAGCCUCGUGCCCUGCUGGGGCUGCAGGAGGAGAUGUGAAGCAGUGACACAUGACCGAGCUUUAAUUACCCUUAAUUACCCAAACCCAUCCUCCUAGGUGCUAAUCUGGGGCAGGCGCAUCCCACUGGGACAUGGGAGCAGGAAGACCUGGCAGGGCUAUGAUGGAGCUGUCCUUCCUGGGAAAGCCAUUUGGUCUGGAUCCCCCUGGGAUGGCUGCAGCACCAGCCUUAUCACCUUGAGCUGGGCCAAGUGGAGUAGGCUGAUGAUUAGAUUUAUCAUAAAGUGAUCUAAUGAGCAGCAAUAGAACCAAGUGCUUUCCAUUCAGUGACCACAUCCAAAUCUUAAUAAGAGCUGACAGCCUGACCCUGGGACCGUGCUCUGGCCAAAGGAAAUCAGCCUGAUAGUUCCCUGGAGAGAGCAGCCAUGGCUUUAAAGUGUCUUCUGAAAGCAUUUAUCUCACCAGCUUAAAAAACCAAAACACCAAAAAACCUGAGCUGCAGGGUUGGGUUAUGUGACCUUCUCACUCUCUUCCCCAUCUCUGCAGCUUGGAAAGCCUCAGCCUGGGAAUGUGCUGGGAUGGCUCAAUCCAGCAAGGAAAGCUCCAACAGCAUCCCAAAUCCUUCCCAGGCUGUGCUCUUGCAUCUGCAUCACCAGUACCCAAGGGGAGAAUUAACAUGCUCUGAGUGCUGAUAGAGAAACUUCAAUAAUUGAAGGUGUUUGUAGGCUUUUGUUGGCAUAUUUUUUGCUGGCAUAUUUUGGAAGUAAUGUUUUACUGUAGCAGCUAUUCCUCUUCUCUAAACCUUUCCCUCCCUCUGCAGUUGAGAAGGGAAGCAACCUGCUUUAUUCCAAGUUCCCAGGGCAAGUCUCCAUGCACAGAGAGGUUGUGGAAUCUCCAUCCCUGGAAGUGUCCAGGGCAGGUUGGACAGGGCUUGGAGCAUGCCAGGACAGUGGAGGGUGUUCCUGCCUAUUGCAGGGGGUGGGAUGAGGUGAGUUUUAAGGUCCCUUCCAACUCAACCCAUAUUCCAUAGUCUGAGCAGUGGAUGCAGCUCCUUGCAUGGGAGGUGCAGAGAUGAAGAGGAGGGUCAAGCCAGGUGCAAGGAAAAUCUCCCAGGAGUGGCUGGAAGGAGUGAAUCCUUGUGAUGAGAGGGCUGUUUGCCACUGUGGGUAGCAAAGGGGUUUUAUUGGCUCAGCAGCUGCUGCCAGGAACCUCAGGGAAAGCUGCAGGGUGUCCUGCAACCUUCAUCCAGGCAUCUCCCAAGGACCUGUUCCCAGCAAAGGUGUUCUGUCCUUAGGAAGUCUUCUGUCCUUCAGCAGCCUGAGUGAUUUCUGCUGCUUACACCCAGGGAGUUUUCCUCAUCUUUAACAUAAUUUAUUUUUUUGUUUGAACAAUAGCAAUACCCAGGGCUGGCUCAGCAGUUGUUUGAUCCCACAAGUCUCUGCCCUUGGCCACGUCAUAUGACACGGACUUCCUCGAGGCAAAUUGUGUGAAAAGAUGCUCUUUUUUUGUCCAUCACUUCUGGAUUUACUGUCCCUUCAUUGCCUCUGAAUGGCCCGUUGUUUGCAGAGCCUGAAUACGAGCUCUGUCUCAGAACAAGCAUGGCACCAGAGGACCCCAAGGAGGCUUUUCCCUCAAUGUGCUGAUUUUCAGAGGAGCCCUCUAAGGCAGGGCCAUUGCUCUUGCUUUGUGUGACACCCUUCCUCCAGGAGAUGGCCCAAGAGGAAGGUGGUGAUGGUGGCAGUCAGCAGACCCUGGGAGCAGGGAGGGAAGCCAGCCAGCUCCAGUGGGAAGAGCUCUGAACCCCUCUUUGUGCUGCUGGAGCAGUGACCCCAUCCAUCCUCUGCCCUUGCCUCAGUGCAAGGGCUGUGAAAGUGCCUGGGAAGCCCUGGCAGAGCAGGGUCUGGGAGUGGUGGGGCUGGAAUUGUGCUCGUUCUGUGCUCAUUCCCUCCUCAGCCCUUCCCGGGGCUGCUCUCUGCCCUUUGUGUUUCUUCAUGCUGGAUCUGUUCCCCAUCCCUGGAAUUGUCUGAAGGAGCAAGAGGUGCUUCCAGGUUUGGAGGUGUUUCUUACCUUGGUGAAAACAAACAGGGCUGAUUUGUUCCCUAGCUGCUUGUCCACAGGAGCCACAAAGCUUCACCUGUGCAGGGUGGGAGCUGGGAAUUACACUUCGUUUGACGUUUGAUCGAGUGCUCUCCUGCUCCAGCCUCAAAGCUCUCUUUGCUUUUCCACUCCAUUUUAAGUCCCUUCUCUUGAAAUUCCAGUCCUGCAUGAAGGCACAAACCCAGGACAGCUGAAGGCUUCCAAAUGCAAUUAUUUUCCAAAGCAUUUCAAUAAAUUAGCAGCUCGUUCCUUUGCCAGACAGCACUUCCCUUCCCAUUGACCUGCGUCUGUGCAGCUGCCAUGUGCCUUGGACCUUUCUCCUCUGGGAUGUCAGCUCAGGAGGACGCAGCCAGGCCCUUUCAGCUGUGAUUCAGACCUGGGCUGGGACUCUGGGGAGGUUGGCACCAGCAUCUGCAGAUAUAUAUAUUUUUUUAAUAGCCUUUUAUUUAUGAAGCUACUUUGGAGUCUGAGUCCCUUGCUUUGUUUGAUAUUUAUUGGUGCUUCACCCAUCUUGAACUGGGAGCCGUAAGCACUUUGAUAAAUGGAUUUGCCUUUCCUGGAACCGUGUCCCAACAUCAGCUCAUCAGCAUCCUCAGCCAAAGUGCCACUCCUGUAAAUCAAGGAUAGUGAGGAGAAAAACCCCAGGCAGGGCAGGAUGGCAAUCCAAGCCCCAGCUCCUCUCUUCCAAGGGGUUCAGUGCUUGGAUAAGGGAUCACUCCAAGUGACUGAGCUCUCUGUUUAGUUCAGGGAGGAAUUCCUUCCCAAUAUCACAUCUAUCCCUGCCCUCUGGCAGUGGGAGGCCAUUCCCCCUUGUCCUGUCACUCCAGGCCCUUGUCCAAAGUCCCUCUCCAGCUCUCCUGGAGCUCCUUUAGGUCUCUCUUUCCUGUCCUAUCACACCUCAAGCUAAAAGGAGUCAGGUGCACAAGGGACAAGGUCAGUGUAGGAAAGAGCCUGGAAAUACCAGCUAAAGGUGAGCUGCUGUCAUUGCAUGAUGAACCCUAUGGGCUGGGAUCAAGCUAGGAUUGUCCCUGAAAAUGCUUCUCUGGGGUAGGGAGAGGUGGCAUUUUAGCAAAGGCGGUUUUGGGAUCUAUAUUGAAUGUCAUGAUGUUGCUAUGGAGAAGCUGGAUGGAGGCCACCAGGAGAAAAGGAGGCUCAGGGGGGACCUUCUGGCUCUCCACAACUCCUGACAGGAGGGGGCAGCUGGAGGGGUGUCAGACUCUGCUCGAGGGAACAGGGACAGGAGGAGAGACAACAGCCUCAAGCUGUGCCAGGCGAGGUUUAGAUUGGAAAUGAGGGAAAAAUUCCUUCACCAAAAGGGUGGUCAGGCACUGGAUCAGGCUGGCCAGAGCCAUGGUGGAGUCCCCAUCCCUAGAAAUGUUUAAAAGAUGUGUAGAUGUGGCACUUGGGGACACGGUUUGGAGGUGGCCUUGCUGGUGCUGGAGUUGGGCUCAAGGAUCUUGGAGGUCUCCUGCAGCCCUAAUGAUCUGUGAUUCCAUGGAACAGCACAUGGCUGGAGAGGGAGCGUGGCCCCAGGGAGAUGUUCCAGGGAAGGUUCCCGCUUGCCCAGGUGGCUGGUGCUGGACACUGGGAUGGGCUGGAUGCCCAGGGCAAGGCCAUGUGUGUGAGGCCACCAGCACUGACAAGGAUCUGCAUCCACAGCUGUCCCCUCUGCACGGGGAGCUUUUCUUUUAAAAUAAUGACCAGGAAAAAAAUCCCUGUCACUUAACAAAAACGUUUCAGGCCUUCUGGGUUUUUCCCUGUGACUAAGUCUAAUGAGAAGAGACAGCAGAGGAUUUAUCAGCAUCUGCUCCCCAGUUUCCCUCUGUGCUGAUAGGAGAUCCAAGGCUGCUACUCCUGAGCAAGGACUUAAUGCAAUGUGACCACAGCCCUGACGGCAGAGCUGCAUCCUGACCCUUCCUGAGGUGUGGAGAGUGGGGGGAAAUAAAGCAGCAGGAUAAAUCAGGAUUCAGGAAAAGAUGUGAACCUUGGCAGCAUUGCCAUGGUAACGGAGGACCUGCCAGUGCCUGCUGCAGCCUGGCACAGGCAGCACAACACUGUGGGCACCGUGGCACACUGUGAUCCAGGAUGGAGAGGGCUGGUGCCAUGGAGAGGCUGUGCUUUCCCUUCUGGAAGUCAGCAGAGGUCUUGGGAAGAUGUUCUGGAAGCUGGUGGCAGGGUGAGAGAGAGGAAGCAGUGGGACACGAGAGUCUCCUGAGCAGGAUCCAGCCUCCCGUGCUCUCCAUGCCCGCAGUGGCAGGGCUGUCCCAGCUCAGCUGCUGCUGGGUGGGGCACACAGGCGGUGGGGCAGGUUAGUCUGCUGCUGGCAGCAGGGAUUCCCCUCUGGGAAAAACCACCGAGGAGGUUCCGGCUGUGUGAAUUCCCCUAAAGAGUGGAAACCACGCCUUUGUAUGUUGCUGAUCCCAACCAAACACGUCCAAUGUCCUGCAGCCUCCUCUCGGCCAGCACCCAGAGCAUCCCAACCCCCUUUUCCCAGUUGCCUGCUUGCCAGGCUUUCCUCUGAAGGCAGGGCCAGGCACAGAAAACCCUGUCCCAGAGGGGCCACGCAGUGCCCCAAUUCCUGCCCUGCUGGUGGCUGUCCAGGGUUUGGCUCCCAGCCGGCUCCCAGGGCUUGCUCCAGCCCCCGAUUGCCUUCCUGUGGCCGAGCUGUGACUCCAGCAGAGAGAGGAACAGGAGGGACUGGGUCCCCUGGGGCAGCACCAGCGGGAUGGGGACGUUUGGGAGGGGAUAUCCCUGCAAUGGGGGCAGCGUGGGCAGCAGUGUUGGACGGGAUCGAGCUUGCUGCACUCUGAGCGAGGCUGGGAGCAGUGGUUGAUUAACGAGGCUGUGCUGUAAUUACUGCCGGCGUGUUUGCCCCCAGCCCUGCUGUGCUGUAGGGGGAGAACGUGUCCUUGCAGCCGCUGCCAUCCUUCCCCGUGCAGCCAUGUGAGAGGCAACGCAGGCAAGAGGAGCUAAAAAUAAACCUGGGUAAAAAUAGUUCCACGUGUGCUCGCUUUUGAGGGGAAAUGAGGGGAAUUUUCAUCUGAAGGAAAAGGAAAAAAAAAAAAAAAAACAAAAAAAAGGAAACUGAAAUUUAUUUUCCCAGGUCACCCUCUAGACAACAGCACCUGUGUCCAGGUGGGGGAGAAGUGGAUCAGGGAUGUGUCGGGGUCGGGACUCCAUCUCAGCCUGUGCUAAUCCACAAAAUGUGUCAGUGCACCUCUCCCCUCUGCCUUGCUGCCUCCCUCUCCUGCAAUUUCUCUUAGCAGAGGGAAUUUCUCUCCUUUCUGCCCAGCUCAGCUCGCGGUACUUCAGCAAUGCCUCAGGGCUGACUUCUGACCAGGGAACAGAAGGAUUCAUCCUUAUUGCACCAGUGGGGGAAAAGUGUUAAUGGGAUUAUGAUGAAAACCCAACUCCGCUGAAAUUUGUCUGUGCCAUGGGAUGUGUCGGCUUCUCCCGGGCUGCUGGGGCUGAGAGUGGACAUCCUUUGAGAGCUUAGUCCAAGGAAAGCUGCUCCUAUCCAUGGCAGGAGGCAGGGACAGGCGGAUCCAGACCCUGCCUGAAAAGGGAGGGCUCCUGGAUCUCCUUUGUCAUAGAAACAAAGAACCUCUGAAUGGUUUGCAUUGGGAAGGACCUUAAAGCUCAUCUCAUUCCACCCUUGCCAUGGGCAGGGACAUCUUCCACUGUCCCAAGGUGCUCCAAGCCCAAAUGUCCAGCCUGGCCUUGGACACUUUCAGGGAUCCAGGGGCAGCCACAGCUUCUCUGGGCACCCUGUUCCAGGGCCUGCCCACACUCAAGGGAGGAAUUUCUUCCCAAAACCCAUCGUGGCUCCUAAUUGCUGGCAAAACAUCUGAGCUCAGUAAAAGCAAUUGUUUAAGCUGAAACAGAAGAAAAUAAAUGGUCAUUACAACACAUUCCAUGCUGGCACGUGCUGGGGAUGUUCUUAAUUAGUGGCGUGGUGGCAAGGAAAAGGAAAGGGGAAUGUUAAAGCAAGACCGUGGAGAGAUGCAGAGGAGGAGCCCCGCCAGGGAAGAUGCCCACAAAGCCUCUUCAACCACACAUCCUCCGAACUGUUCCCGGGACAGGACGGUGGAGGCAAAGCCGGCUUAGCCCUGGUCUGAGCUGCGGCAGGACGGGAUGCUUUGGUGCCAGCCUGGGAACGCGGGGUGAGGAAAGGACGGGAGCGGGCAGCCGCGAUGGAAGGGAAGCGCUGAUGGAUCUGCCGGCUCCCCUGCCGAAUGAGAGUUUCUGCUCUUGGAACUGUUUGAACUGCCUGACCCCUCCUGAGUUUUGCGGGUAUCCAAGCUGAGGAAGCCAUCCUGAAGCUAUAAGGAAGGUUUGGCUUCAGGAGAGCCUUCAGCCAAGUCACGACUUGCUGAACUGCUGCAGGACAUGGUCUGAUGACAGCCAUGUGGCACUGUGGCAUCUAACCCCCACCAUUCUGGAGAUUCAGCAGGAGAAGCCCCAAGGAGAUGACAAACAAUCAAACAAACAAACAAAGUCCAGCUGCUCUGUUGGUGUGAAUGGAUUGGCUGGAGCCAGGUGGAUUCCUGCCAGCAAUGAUUUCACUGGUAAAACCCCAAAGCCCCUCAUUUUGAAAAGACCGUAAGCUGAGACUGGAGACGGCAAACAAAAUUUCCAGCAGAGGAAAACCACUGAAACAGAAAUACAAGACCUGAUUGGAACCUGGGAGGAGAAACCUGAGGUAGCUGAGGGCCUGGACACACGGGAGCAUCCCAAACAAACACUCGUCAGUCCCUUGAGGUGUCUGUUACCCCAACAAGUGGCAGUCCUCGUGAAGCUGGUUCAGAACAAAGCUGCAGAGCAGGUGUUGGAAGGGUCAGGCCAAGGAAGGAAAGGAAAAGCUGAAGUGCCUGAGGUGCAGGGAAGCAUUUUACUCUAUUCCCUGACUUUGCUUCCCCACUGCAGGCAUCACUGGAUAUGAUCCUUCUGGAGGUGCUGCCAGACCAUUGAGUGCUCCAUCCCUGCCCUCCAGACACCCUCUUCCUGGAGGAAAGUUGGCAACUUUGAGUUUAUUCCAUCUUUGCACCCAUGCCAAAACCUAUUUAAUAUCAGGUUUGCUGUGGGUUUGUUUGGGUUUGGUCCCACAAAUGCCUCUGGGGCAGGUCAGUGCAUCUCCCAAGCCACCCCUUGGCUGUGCCUUUGGAGUUUGCAAAAUCCAAGGAGACCUCUGUUGUUCUGCUUGAAUAUCCCUCCCCAUCUCAGUCCCAAAGGGUGGGAAGCAUCAGGGAAUAUUAUUGAUAAACAAUAGAUGUCUGGUGGAGACGCUGGUGAUUUUCCUAGUACAAAAGGCUUCUGCAUCCUCUGUGAUAAUUCCCCUUUUUUUUCCUCCUUGCUGGCUUUGUGGUUUUGUGAUUUAUUUGUGGGCUGGCAGGCGUCCACAGCCCUGCAGGAAAUGGAUGUCUGCUCUUGUGUUUGGGGGGGCCAUAUAAACGUGUAAUUUUCCCACUACAUCAAUGACAGACGUUUCUCCUUGGCUGGAGCAGCUCCAUGGUUUCUGUGCCCUUUUGGUUUGUUCCCCCCAGCCCAGGCUGAGAGUAUUUAUAGGGAACCCCAGUUCUGACAUCCUCAGCUGAGCUGGGGGAAAGUUAAAGAACUUGGCCACAAAAACUGUAGAGGGGAAACUCACUGGCCUUUUUUUACCUGAUAGUAACUCCAGGACAGCAGCACGGCCAAGUUUUCCCUGGCUAUUCCUCCUGCUGACAUUUUCCUCAAGGAUAGAAGUGGUUUGCCCUAAGAAAACAACCCUCUUGCUAUGGAAAAGAAAUUGUAGGGCAAUUUACUUUGGAAUAGCUGUGCUACCUAAUUCCUGGCUCCUGGAGAGAGACCCAGCUGGACUUGGAGCAAAGAAAGGAAACCCAAGGCAAAAUUCAGUGUGGCUGAAUCAGGUUUUCUUGGAGGAAAGGCUGGACAAGCCUCUGUGAGGCCCUGGCACAGGGUGGCCAGAGAAGCUGUGACUGCCCCUGGAUCCCUGCAAGUGUCCCAGGCCACGCUGGAUGGGGCUUGGAGCAGCCUGGGAUAGUGGAAGGUGUCCCUGGAAUGUCAGAGGGUGAUACAGGAUGAGCUUUGAGGCCCUUUCAACCCAAACCUGUCUGGGAUUCUAUGGUCUGGGACAGCAGUGGAGUCAAAAAUCAUAAUGUCCAGCAGAUUGAAUGUACCUAUGGUGUCCCUCGGCUUGUAAUGUGGGUUCUCCAUGGAUUCCUGAUGAAACAGGAAUGUUCUGCUAGGAUUUUUCUCAUUUUUAUUCUGCCUGAAGUGAGGGUAAAGGAUGAGGGAUGUCUGCAAGGACAGGACAAAAACCUGAGCCAGUCUGGUGGCAUGAAACCAGGAGGGAGGUGAGAAUCUGUGAUGAGGGACAUCCAGGGAUGCAGAAUUCUGGGAUGUCACCUCCUGUUUGGAGUCAUUACCUGGCUGUGCUGCUGCUCUGGCUCUGCUGCGAUGCAUCUCAUCCUUUUUGGGGCCAGGAAUGUUCCACCUACAUAGUUUCUCCCAGGGGUCCCAGCAAACCUUUGAGAUAAAUCCGUCCAGAUCCACAUAAAAUUAAGCAUCUUACUGUGUUUGUACUGCCUCAUCCCCUGUAAGUCUUGAGCACCUUCCAUGACCCCUCUCACGUUUCACUUUCAGAGCGCAGCCCACGUGUGGGCCAUGAGCUCCAUGGGUGGGUGUGGGCUUGUGCAGGGCUGUUGUUGCAUUCCUGUGGCUGAUGGCAGCAGGUUGGGGCUGGGACAGAGCUGUCAGGAGCCGGGUUUCCUUGGGAAAGCACCCACCUGACCAUGAGCACGGCAUGGCUGGGCCUGGACAUGCAGACUGCUCUUACCUCUGCACCUGGUCUGGCCUUACUGAGUGGUGGAAACUCUCCUGGUGAGAGAAGGAUGCCCUGGUGAAAUCUAUUUCAUGGAAUCCCAGAAUGGUUUGGGGUGGAAGGGAUCUUGAAUUCAUCCAGUUCCACGUCCCUGCCAUGGGCAGGGACACAUUCCACUAUCCCAGGCUGCUCCAAGCCCCAGUGUCCAGCCUGGCCUUGGGCACUGCCAGGGAUCCAGGGGCAGCCACAGCUGCUCUGGGCACCCUGGGCCAGGGCCUUACUGUCCUCAUACUAAAGAAUUUCCUUCUAAAUCAUCUUCCCAUGAUCUGAGUUUAGGCUUUAAACACAAACACCAUUAGCAGCAACAGGCUCCGUGCACGUCACUCCCUGUCCUGCUCUAAAAGCAGCAGCCCCAGCAGCAAACAUCCCUCCCUCCAUCCUCCCGGCACUGAGCCAGAGGAGCUGCAACCCCUGCCCUCACACCGUGGCACAGAGUGUAAAUCUCAUCCACUCCCUUUUCCAUUUGGCCACUUUGGGAGUUUAUUCACCAUUAAAGCCUUUUCUUUCACACACUUUUGCAGAAGUAGGGAUUUAUUUGGGCACGAAUUUGCUGCCCUUGUCGGUGACAAGGAGGUGCUUCUGUGGUGCUGACACAGCCUCAGCUGCAGAAACACCAUUCUGAGCACUGCAGGGGGAAAAGGGACUCAUGGCAGGUGUAAAAGUGGGCCAGGUAUGACAAAAAAUAGAGGAGGACAAGUGUGCUCUGCUUCCAGAGGCCGGGGGAAGGCGCCGAGCAGGAACUGUACAGGACAUCACGGGUGGUGGAGGGAGCCAGAGAAACAUCCAGUGUUUUGUCCUCUCUGCAGGGAGCUCAUGGCCAUAGGAUUGGCCAGGAACUGGGUCAGGAUGAGGAGGGAUGAAGCAAACCGAACUGAAGGCCUUCAGUGAGGCCCCUUCAGCCCCUGCCAAGCCUGUGCCAAGGGGAGGCAACGUCCACGUGGCCACCACGGGUGGGAGAUGAGUCAAGAGAGUCAAGAGAGCCCCGGCUGCUGCUGGUGUUUGGUCACAAUUGCUCUGGGCACCCUGUGCCAGGGCCUCCCCACCAUCCCAGGGAACAAUUCCUUCCCAAUAUCCCAUCUAUCCCUGCCCCCUGGCAGUGGGAA